AACGAACGCUGGCGGCAUGCCUAACACAUGCAAGUCGAACGAGACCUUCGGGUCUGGUGGCGCACGGGUGCGUAACGCGUGGGAACCUGCCCUUAGGUUCGGAAUAACUCCCCGAAAGGGGUGCUAAUACCGGAUAAUGUCUUCGGACCAAAGAUUUAUCGCCUUUGGAUGGGCCCGCGUUGGAUUAGCUAGUUGGUAGGGUAAAAGCCUACCAAGGCGACGAUCCAUAGCUGGUCUGAGAGGAUGAUCAGCCACACUGGGACUGAGACACGGCCCAGACUCCUACGGGAGGCAGCAGUGGGGAAUAUUGGACAAUGGGCGAAAGCCUGAUCCAGCAAUGCCGCGUGAGUGAUGAAGGCCUUAGGGUUGUAAAGCACUUUUACCCGGGAUGAUAAUGACAGUACCGGGAGAAUAAGCUCCGGCUAACUCCGUG
rnacentral:rRNA from 1 species